AGAGUUUGAUCCUGGCUCAGGACGAACGCUGGCGGCGUGCCUAAUACAUGCAAGUCGAACGCUUCUUUCCUCCCGAGUGCUUGCACUCAAUUGGAAAGAGGAGUGGCGGACGGGUGAGUAACACGUGGGUAACCUACCCAUCAGAGGGGGAUAACACUUGGAAACAGGUGCUAAUACCGCAUAACAGUUUAUGCCGCAUGGCAUAAGAGUGAAAGGCGCUUUCGGGUGUCGCUGAUGGAUGGACCCGCGGUGCAUUAGCUAGUUGGUGAGGUAACGGCUCACCAAGGCCACGAUGCAUAGCCGACCUGAGAGGGUGAUCGGCCACACUGGGACUGAGACACGGCCCAGACUCCUACGGGAGGCAGCAGUAGGGAAUCUUCGGCAAUGGACGAAAGUCUGACCGAGCAACGCCGCGUGAGUGAAGAAGGUUUUCGGAUCGUAAAACUCUGUUGUUAGAGAAGAACAAGGACGUUAGUAACUGAACGUCCCCUGACGGUAUCUAACCAGAAAGCCACGGCUAACUACGUGCCAGCAGCCGCGGUAAUACGUAGGUGGCAAGCGUUGUCCGGAUUUAUUGGGCGUAAAGCGAGCGCAGGCGGUUUCUUAAGUCUGAUGUGAAAGCCCCCGGCUUAACCGGGGAGGGUCAUUGGAAACUGGGAGACUUGAGUGCAGAAGAGGAGAGUGGAAUUCCAUGUGUAGCGGUGAAAUGCGUAGAUAUAUGGAGGAACACCAGUGGCGAAGGCGGCUCUCUGGUCUGUAACUGACGCUGAGGCUCGAAAGCGUGGGGAGCAAACAGGAUUAGAUACCCUGGUAGUCCACGCCGUAAACGCACAAGCGGUGGAGCAUGUGGUUUAAUUCGAUGCAACGCGAAGAACCUUACCAGGUCUUGACAUCCUUUGACCACUCUAGAGAUAGAGCUUUCCCUUCGGGGACAAAGUGACAGGUGGUGCAUGGUUGUCGUCAGCUCGUGUCGUGAGAUGUUGGGUUAAGUCCCGCAACGAGCGCAACCCUUAUUGUUAGUUGCCAUCAUUUAGUUGGGCACUCUAGCGAGACUGCCGGUGACAAACCGGAGGAAGGUGGGGAUGACGUCAAAUCAUCAUGCCCCUUAUGACCUGGGCUACACACGUGCUACAAUGGGAAGUACAACGAGUCGCUAGACCGCGAGGUCAUGCAAAUCUCUUAAAGCUUCUCUCAGUUCGGAUUGCAGGCUGCAACUCGCCUGCAUGAAGCCGGAAUCGCUAGUAAUCGCGGAUCAGCACGCCGCGGUGAAUACGUUCCCGGGCCUUGUACACACCGCCCGUCACACCACGAGAGUUUGUAACACCCGAAGUCGGUGAGGUAACCUUUUUGGAGCCAGCCGCCUAAGGUGGGAUAGAUGAUUGGGGUGAAGUCGUAACAAGGUAGCCGUAUCGGAAGGUGCGGCUG
rnacentral:rRNA from 1 species